GGGCGGGUGGGGAGAGAAGCAGCAGAGUCACUUCACCGACCAGACGCCGCGGCCACCGCUGACGCCGCCGCCAUUUUAAUAGAGCGUUCGGGCUGCGCUCGGCUCUUUCCGCCCGAGCGAAGGAGCCGACGAGAAACGCCUCGCGCUCUCAUUCCUCCGCCUCCUUCCCUCGCUUCGCCUCCCGCCCUCCCACCUCUCCCUCCGCACACACGCCGCACGCUCCACACCCCGCCGCGGCCGGCUCGCCGCCCUCCCUUUCCUCUUCCGUCUGGCCUCCCCGCCCUCGGUCCACCCCCUCCGCGCGUUCGCCCACCCCGCCCAGCCCGGAUCUCUGUCAGCGGCCGGAAGGGAAACACGAAGCCAGCGCGGCCGCGGGGGGAGUCCGAAUGAUGAAUUGAAAUGAAAUGAAAUGUUGGAGAGAUGCAACAUUCCUGACUUUGAAGAUGAAGGGAAGUGGGCCUUGAGUCAAGAAAUGUGGGUGGUCUCCAGAAGAUGGAAAAGACAAGGAAACAAUCUCCCUUUCAGCCUCCAGAAAAGAACCCAGCCAGCCCUGCUGACAUCUUGGUUUAGCUCAAUGAAACCCAUGUUGGACUACUGACUUACAAAACUGUAAAAUGAUGUUUGUUAAAUUUAGUUUUAAGCCAUAAAUUUGUGGUAAUUUGUUUCAGCAGCAAUAGAAAACUAAUAGAAGUGAUGUGCAGAUCUAGAGAAUAGCAUAUGCAAAACUCCUGAUACAAAAUUCCUUGCUUCUUUCUAGGAACAGAAAUAAAGCCAGUAUGACUAGAACAUA